GGAAACAGGACAAGAUUGGCAGUACAUAGCUCACAUUCCUCAAGUGAGAGUGGUCAGCUCCUCAAACACAAUAACGUGUUGUGACACAAUCCGAUACAUCUGGACAGCCUGCAACACGGCUGGAAUGUGCUCUGCUUUAGACUUUUGGGAACAUGAUACUCCAAUGAAUCAAUUUGACAGGAUUGUUGAGAAGGGUUGGUGAAUUUUAUUUAUCGUAUGUAUUCCCGCCAGACUGUAACAGUACCAUGGAAGGUUUCAUCUUCGGGCUUACAUGGGCAAUGGGCAUCCAUCUAUCCUACUAUUAGUUACUUCAUGGAUCUAAUCUCAUUUCAUUAGGAUAUCAAUCAAUAAUUCAUCAAAAGACCAAGUAAUUGGGACAAUUUAUGUAAUUAUUUUCUAUUCUAUUUUAUGUUUAAUUAAAAACAAUCAUCUUACGAA